UUGGGUGAUUAUAGCGAUAGGGCUCACCUCUUCCCAUUCCGAACAGAGAAGUUAAGCCUAUCAGCGCCGAUGGUACUGCGUUAGCGGGAGAGUAGGUCGUCGCCACUU
rfam:Ornithobacterium rhinotracheale DSM 15997, complete genome.